ACCGCACAACGCGGCGUCGGCAUCGAGCGAGACAUGUUAGACAUGCUUCGCAAGAGGGAACCCGGUGGGAGUCCGGGACUGUCCCGCAGCGGUAUGCAGGAACGACCGCCGUCACGAGCACUGGUCUGGCGAAAAGACUGGGAAGCGACGGCCAUUAGGAACUGCCCGGCUCCUCAGCGGCCGGGCGUGAGCACCCCCCGGUGCGCGCCUGCGAGUCCGAAGACCUGCCAGCUGUGCCGGACGCGC
rnacentral:ncRNA from 1 species